CACACACACACACACACACGCACACAACCAUUUAUACUGUACUUUCAGGAUCUCUUACACACACCUGAUUCCUGACCCUCUCAAGCAAGGACAGACACGCCCCUGCUUUCCCUCCCUCAAUUCCUGGAACAGAAUUUAGCCCUGGGUCCUGGAUUGCUAGUGAUCAAUAGAGCAACGAGGAGAAUCUGGAACUGGGGAGGUGACCCCGUGCCUGAAUGGGGGAGGGGACGCUCUCCACUCACCGCCUGAGUCCCUGGAAGGAGGAGGGCCAGGACAUCCUGGAUUUCUUCAGGCCGGGCCGGUGGCCGGUCUCCACGGCGUAGGAGGUGCGGUCCAUGGCGCGGCAGUACAGGAAUUGUUAGCUCCAGACGCAGAAAAAGCAGCGGUGGUAGUGAGAGCAGCCUAGUCGGUCCAGAGCGCCUGAACCCUGAGACCGGAGCAGCUGAAAAGUUGGACAGCUCCUGACUGAUGCAAGUGGGACUAAUGGCAGUGUCCAAAGAAUGCCUAGGAAGGCAUCAAGCUGGUAUCUUUCCAAACAAGAAAGGAAAUAAAAGGAAGUAUUAUGCAGUAUAAAUCAGUUUUUUUUUCAAUUCACUGCAUUAUUAAUAGUUGGAACCAUUUCAAAGAAGUAUACAAAUUUCUUUUUUCCUCUGAAAUUGUUGCCACUUUUCUGCUCAAUAGAGCUAUGU